rnacentral:rRNA from 1 species
AUUGAACGCUGGCGGCAGGCCUAACACAUGCAAGUCGAGCGGCAGCGGGAAAGUAGCUUGCUACUUUUGCCGGCGAGCGGCGGACGGGUGAGUAAUGCCUGGGAAAUUGCCCAGUCGAGGGGGAUAACAGUUGGAAACGACUGCUAAUACCGCAUACGCCCUACGGGGGAAAGCAGGGGACCUUCGGGCCUUGCGCGAUUGGAUAUGCCCAGGUGGGAUUAGCUAGUUGGUGAGGUAAUGGCUCACCAAGGCGACGAUCCCUAGCUGGUCUGAGAGGAUGAUCAGCCACACUGGAACUGAGACACGGUCCAGACUCCUACGGGAGGCAGCAGUGGGGAAUAUUGCACAAUGGGGGAAACCCUGAUGCAGCCAUGCCGCGUGUGUGAAGAAGGCCUUCGGGUUGUAAAGCACUUUCAGCGAGGAGGAAAGGUUGAUGCCUAAUACGUAUCAACUGUGACGGUACCCGGAGAAGAAGCCCCGGCUAACUUCGUGCCAGCAGCCGCCGUAAAAC